rnacentral:pre_miRNA from 1 species
CUUGUACUCCCUCCGUCCGAAAAUACUUGUCAUCGAAAUGGAUGUAUCUAGAUGUAUUUUAGUUCUAGACACAUCCAUUUUGAUGACAAGUAAUUCCGGACGGAGGGAGUACUUG